AAAGCUGUGUGUGUGUGUGUGUGUCUGCGUGUAUGAAGAAAGUUGCCAGCAGAUCACUUUCGGCUAUUUUUCUGCUCACAGAUGAGGAACUGAACUCACUCCCACAUUCAGUGAGAGCUCUGGCCCAGACAGCUGCGCUGGGAGAAGCAUUGGCUUUCCUCCUGGUGGGCAAGUGCUGCAUUUCUGAAUGACUUUAACAAGAAGUGCUUAAGUGCUUGAGUUUUGCAAAUUGAAGCAAUUGCUUCACAAACAAGCUGGUUCUUGCCUUUGCUUUCUUGCACAGUUUUCCUUGCAGUGUUAUUACCUUGCUCACUGUCCCACGUCACCCUGGGAAGCACAUGAAUCAGAUUAGAAGCUUUCUGCUAAGGGGCUGAAUGGUGUAAGCAAGGAGAUUUUUGCUGAAUUUUAGAGGUGGCAAACUCAGGCUCUGGAGAGGCAUUUGCAGGGAAGGAAGAGAUCCUGAGUUUGCCAGGUAAGUGCGAGGCAGAGGAUGGGGUUAGGAGAUGUUUUGUUGCACCAAAUGAUGCUGAUGUUCCUUGUGCAGCUCUGUUCUUCUCAUCAGAUGGUUGUGAAGCCCAUGCCACAAGGUAGCAGGAGGACAUCACAUGGCUGCUCAUGAGUGCCCAAGCUGCUUCCCGUGGCUCAUGCAAUGUUGGCGAGGAUUUUGGUGUCAGUUCUCCAAGGAGAGCCACAGCAAACUCCUGACCCGGAGCCUCUCAGCAGAUUUCCCAAUGAGUACAGGAGAUACUGGGCGAGGCCUUGCCAAAGCAAAGUGGAGUGCCUCCAGGCUUGAACUCAUGCACAGUCCCUGCUGAACAAGCAGGUCUGGCCCUUCCAGCACAGCCCAGAAGGCACGUUUGGUCCAGGUGAGAGCGAAUCAGGCAGGGAGCUGCCCACCCAAAAUGGCACAGAAGCCCCCAGUCUUGAGGAGUGGGAUUAUUUCUGGCAAUAAUGGUGACAGCAUGGCUUGGCUGUGAGCAGUCCUCCUGCUGCCCAAUCUAUGCCAUGCUCAUCAGCCCCUGGUCCCUGCACUGUGCUGCCACACACGCGUGUGUACAGACAUACACACAUUUCUUAGAAAGGCUGAAAGAUUUCCUGCUGAACCUCUGCUGUCAGAAAAUGCUGCUCUGCCAAAAUUGAGCGUUCUCAUGGGAGCGUGUCAAUUCGGAUGGAGUGAAGUUUUAGGGUGACAAAAAUGGGAAUAACGCAUUUCAGGGAACUCAGAGCAGUCAGCAGCUGGCUGUCAGGAUAGGCAGUGCAAGUUCUCAGUCUGGAAUGGCUUCUCUUGGCACCACUGUGCACUAAUGUGUACUGCAGGGUAAGCCAUUGUAUGAAACAUACAAAAUAAAUCAUGGGACAGAAUGCUACUAUGCA
rnacentral:lncRNA from 1 species